rnacentral:rRNA from 1 species
AGAUUGGACGCUGGCGGCAGGCCUAACACAUGCAAGUCGAGCGGUAGAGAGGUGCUUGCAUCUCUUGAGAGCGGCGGACGGGUGAGUAAUGCCUAGGAAUCUGCCUAGUGGUGGGGGAUAACGUUCGGAAACGGACGCUAAUACCGCAUACGUCCUACGGGAGAAAGCGGGGGACCUUCGGGCCUCGCGCCAUUAGAUGAGCCUAGGUCGGAUUAGCUAGUUGGUGAGGUAAUGGCUCACCAAGGCGACGAUCCGUAACUGGUCUGAGAGGAUGAUCAGUCACACUGGAACUGAGACACGGUCCAGACUCCUACGGGAGGCAGCAGUGGGAAUAUUGGACAAUGGGCGAAAGCCUGAUCCAGCCAUGCCGCGUGUGUGAAGAAGUCUUCGGGUUGUAAAGCACGUUAAGUGGAAGGAAGGUUGUAACCUAAUACGUUGACAACUUUGACGUUACGACAGAAUAAGCACGCUAACUCGUGCCAGCAGCCGUACG